GAUGAACACUAGCGGCAGGCUUAACACAUGCAAGUCGAGCGGCAGCGCGGGGGCAACCCUGGCGGCGAGCGGCGAACGGGUGAGUAACAUAUCGGAACGUACCCAGUCGUGGGGGAUAACUAUCCGAAAGGAUAGCUAAUACCGCAUACGUCCUGAGGGAGAAAGCGGGGGAUCGCAAGACCUCGCGCGAUUGGAGCGGCCGAUAUCGGAUUAGCUAGUUGGUGGGGUAAAGGCUCACCAAGGCGACGAUCCGUAGCGGGUCUGAGAGGACGACCCGCCACACUGGAACUGAGACACGGUCCAGACUCCUACGGGAGGCAGCAGUGGGGAAUUUUGGACAAUGGGGGCAACCCUGAUCCAGCCAUUCCGCGUGAGUGAAGAAGGCCUCGGUUGUAAGACUCUUCGUCCGGGACGAAGUACGCACAGG
rnacentral:rRNA from 1 species